CUUUCAAAGUAUUGUUGGAUCCAUUUGGCUAGUAUCUUGUUGAGGAUUUUUGCAUCCAUGUUCCUCAGGGAUACGGUCUGUAGUUCUCCUGUUUAGUGCUAUCUUUGUCUUGUCUGUUUUUG